GCAUCCCGCGGCUCCAUCCCCGGUUCUGAAUUCCGGGGAUCCGUAUCCCGGUGUUCCAUCCUUGGCUCCGCAUCCCGCAGCUCCAUCCCCGACUCCGCAUCCCGUGGCUUCAUAUCCCGGUGCUCCGCAUCUCAGUUCGCCAUCCCCGGGCUCCGCAUCCCGGGCUCUGUUCCCGGUUCCAUCCCCGGCGCUGCGGGCUCAGCAUGGGCGGAGGAGCCCCGCGCCUGCACCGGUGGCUGCUGCUGCUGCUGCUGCUGCUGCUGCUGGGGCUGUGCAGCUGGACGGCCGCGCUGCGAGGACAUGAGAACAGCGAGGCCCUGCCCGAGUCCCUGCCCUCGGCGCCGGGGACCCUGCCCCAUUUCCUGGAGGAGCCUGACGAUUCCUACAUCAUCAAGAGCAACCCCAUCGUGCUGCGCUGCAGGGCCGUGCCCGCCAUGCAGAUCUUCUUCAAGUGCAACGGCGAGUGGGUGCACCAGAACGAGCACGUGUCCCACGAGAGCCUGGACGAGGCCACAGGGCUGAAGGUGAGGGAGGUCUCCAUCAACGUGACGAGGCAGCAGGUGGAGGAUUUCCAUGGCCCUGAGGAUUACUGGUGCCAGUGUGUGGCCUGGAGCCACCUGGGCACCUCCAAGAGCAGGAAGGCGUCGGUGCGCAUCGCUUAUCUUCGGAAGAACUUCGAGCAAGACCCCCAGGGCAAGGAGGUUCCCAUCGAGGGGAUGAUCGUCCUGCACUGCCGGCCCCCCGAGGGCGUCCCUGCUGCCGAGGUGGAGUGGCUGAAGAACGAGGAGCCCAUCGAUUCCAACCUGGACGAGAACAUCGACACCAGGGCCGACCACAACCUCAUCAUCCGCCAGGCGCGCCUCUCCGACUCGGGCAACUACACCUGCAUGGCUGCCAACAUCGUGGCCAAGAGGAGGAGCCUGUCGGCCACCGUGGUGGUCUAUGUGAACGGGGGCUGGUCCUCAUGGACGGAGUGGUCCAGCUGCAACGCGCGCUGCGGCCGGGGCUGGCAGAAACGCUCGCGCACCUGCACCAACCCCGCGCCCCUCAACGGGGGAGCCUUCUGCGAGGGCAUGUCCGUGCAGAAAAUCACCUGCACCUCCCUCUGCCCUGUGGACGGCAGCUGGGAGGUGUGGAGCGAGUGGUCGGUGUGCAGCCCCGAGUGCGAGCACCUGCGCGUGCGGGAGUGCGCUGCGCCCGCGCCCCGCAACGGUGGCAAGCACUGCGAGGGGCUGAGCCAGGAGUCCGAGAACUGCACCGAGGGGCUCUGCAUACAAGACGUGGAGCGUGGCGCGGACGUGGCGCUGUACUCGGGGCUGGCGGCGGCGGUGCUGGCGGUGGCCGUGCUGGCGCUGGGGGUGACCCUGUACCGGCGCAGUCAGAGUGAGUACGGCGUGGAUGUCAUUGAUUCCUCUGCACUCACGGGAGGCUUCCAGACUUUUAAUUUUAAAACAGUCAGACAAGGUAACUCCCUGCUCCUGAACUCGUCCCUGCAGCCCGAGCUGACGGUCAGCAGGACCUACAGUGGCCCCAUCUGCCUGCAGGACCCGCUGGACAAAGAGCUGAUGACCGAGUCCUCCCUGUUCAACCCCCUGGCCGACAUCAAGGUCAAGGUGCAGAGCUCCUUCAUGGUGUCCCUGGGCGUCACCGAGCGGGCCGAGUUCCACGGCAAGGCCCACCCCGGCACCUUCCCCCACGGCAGCCCCAGGCCCUUUGGGACCCUCCAGGCCAGGAACAAGGCCAUGUUCAUCCAGAACCUGGCCUCCAUCUCCAGCAGCAGCGAGCUGAGGAGCACGGCCCUGUUCGGGCACCUGGGGGGACGCUUGGUGGUCCCCAACACAGGGGUCAGUCUGUUGAUUCCACACGGGGCCAUUCCAGAGGACAGUUCCUGGGAAAUCUACCUGGCCAUCACCCAGAGGGAGUCCAGCCUGGAGCCGGAGGGCCCCGAGGUGCUGCUGGGCCCUGAGGUGAGCUGCGGGCCCCCCGAGCUGGCCGUGAGCACCCCCUGCGCCCUGAGCAUCCCGCACUGCGCCCACGCCGACCCCCAGCACUGGAGCAUCCACCUCAAAAGGAGGACCCAGCAGGGCAAGUGGGAGGAAGUGAUGUCUGUGGAAGAGGAAACUACUUCUUGCUACUGCCUGUUGGAUCCUUAUGCCUGUCACAUUCUCUUAAACAGCUUUGGAACUUAUGCCCUAAUUGGGGAACCCAUCUCAGACUGCGCCAUUCGACAGCUGAAAGUCGCCGUUUUUGGCUGCCUGUCUUGCAAUUCUCUGGAUUACAAUCUGAGGGUUUAUUGUGUGGAUAACACCCCUUGUGCAUUCCAGGAAGUGGUUUCGGAUGAAAGGCUCCAAGGGGGACAAUUGCUGGAGGAACCCAAACUUCUGCAUUUUAAAGGCAACACCUGCAGCCUCCAGAUCUCAGUGCUGGACGUGCCUCCCUUCCUGUGGAGAAUCAAACCCUUCACUGCCUGUCAGGAGGUGCCAUUCUCCCGCGUGUGGCGCGGCAGCCCCCGGCCCCUGCUCGGCGCCUUCUCCCUGGAGCGCUUCAGCCCCGCCACCACCCAGCUGUGCUGCACCGUGUGUGUCAGGCAGCUGCAGGGCCACGAGCAGCUGCUGCACAUCCAGACCUCCAUCCUCGAGGCUGAGAGAGAAAACAUCCCCUUCUUUGGCCACGAGGACAGCGCCUUCCCCGCCCAGCUGGGCCCCAAGGCCUUCAAGAUCCCGCGCUCCAUCCGGCAGCGCAUCUGCACCACCUUCGACGCGCCCGGCGCCAAGGGCAAGGACUGGCAGCUGCUGGCACAGAAGAACAGCAUCAGCAGGAACCUCUCCUUCUUUGCCACCCAGAGCAGCCCCUCUGCCGUCAUCCUGGACCUGUGGGAGGCACGGCACCAGCACGACGGGGACCUGGACUCGCUGGCCUGUGCCCUGGAGGAGAUUGGCAGGACACACUCCAAGCCCCCUGAGGUGCCAGAGCCCGAGCUGGACGAGCCCGAGUUCCCCUGCACCAGGAAGGGGCUUUAGUCCCUCUGUCCUGCCAGGACACACGGCCAGCAGGGGUUGUGGGGAUGGAACUCACCCCGCAUCAGUGGCAAUGGGAGGAGCAGCAGCUAAAAACCCUCUGGUGAUGAGGAAAACCAGCUCCUCCCUGUCCUCCUCCACUUAAAAUCCAUAUUUUGGUGCCCCAAAUGAGCCUGCGCUUGUGUCAGCGCCGGGGCAGGAGGGAGAGAGACACAGAGCCAUAAGAGGGAAACGUUAUUCUGUAUUUAGGAACAGUCAUGUUCGUGUACUGCCUAGUGAAAAAUCAACAAAUAGCAUUGGAUAUUUCGAGCCACUGGAGGUUGGUCCUGGUUAAAAGGUUUCUCUAGUGAAAAUCAACAAAUAACGUUGGAUAUUUUGAGCCACUGGAGGUUGGUCCUGGUUAAAAGGUUUCUCGCCGAAUUCGAGGGUGGUUUAAAAAUCCCAUCACGUUGUCACUUUAUGUCUGCUACAGGAAAACUGAAAAUUUGGCCUUAUCCUGUUCAGAUGUUUGAGGAAUUAGAAGAUCUCAUAAUUAUUUCACAUCGUGUGUAUUCCAAAUACUUUGUUUUAAAAAUUCAGCCCCCUAAUGAAUGUACAUUUGCUGCAGAGCUUUGCUGCCUGUUCUGUUACCAAAAUUCCAGAACAAACCCCUUCUCUCUGAGACUGGGGGGUGUGUGCACACGCCAGAGGAAUUUUCUAAUUUUCUACGUCUGCAAACUUUCUUAGUCAAAAAACUGUCUUUGGGGGUGGAUUUAAAUAACCAAAUAACACACGGGAAAAUUUCCAGCCCUAUUUUAGCAAGUUGAGACAUUUAUUUUUGUUACUUCAUUCUCUGUGGCUGAGCUGAAGGUGAAGGCAAUCAGCACAGCUUCAUUUUGGUUGGGUUUCAGAUUGAAACCACAAACCCCACACGGCACUGCCAACACUGGCCUGGAUUUUGUUGCACAAUUUGGGAAUUUUGCGGGGUCCAGAGCUGGCUGUGUUACCUUGGUUUAAUUACAAAUUGCAUUUUCCCCAAAAAUCAGGAUCUAAGCAGAGAAUUCACCUCAUUUUUUACCCAUUCCAUGCAGAAAUUAUUUAUGGCUUCAACCAAACCAAAAAGAGCUGUCACUGUGAGUGAGGGCCUGGUGGAGCUGGGACUGAGCCAAAUGUCACCAUUAUUUUUGACCAUUCUUUUCACUCCCAUCCUUCACCAUAGCCGAGGUGCUGGAGCCCGUGGGGCUGCCAGGGCACAGGCAGGAGAAAAAGGAACAGAAAUGAGGCUUUGGGAGCUUUGUGGAAAUGCAGGAAACCCAAACCAAGGGUUUGGGGGCUGUUUUAGCCUCAUGUUUGGCUGAGAGCAGGGCAGUUCCUUCACCCAGGACUGCAGUGUGAAAAUCUAAACAAAACAACAACGAGAUCAGCAACAUCAGCUUUGUCCUUGCUUGUGCUGCCCUGAAAUCAAAAAUGUCACUGCCUGCCCAGCUCAGGAAUAGGCUGAGACAUGGAAAUCCUGAAACUUGGAAAUCCUGAGACCAGUGCAAAGCUUUCCUGCAGCUCAGCAUCUCCUGCAAGCCUGGCAGGAGGCUCCUGGCACAGGUUUCGGGGCAGACAGAAAUACCGGCUGCAAGCUGUCACUGCUUUCAGCAGCACAUGCUCCUCCAGUUCCAUCCCCACUGACUGCCAGUCCUCCUCCACAAACCUGUUCUUGGUUGGACAAAAUGUCAGGCAUUAGAAAAAAAAACAAAACAAGGGAUGAUGGCACCGGGGGAACAAGCAGAGUCUGCGAGCUGCCGUUGUCGGGGAAACCAAUCCGGCUCUGCCUGCAGCAGGGAUUUGUUCUCAGUGCCCCAGAGCUGCUCUGUUCCUGAGCAGGCUGGGUUUGGUGCCCCAGGUGCUGCAGGGGAUUCCUGGGUUAGACAUUGGAGGGGAAUCUUCAGGAUCAGGUGUUCUGGGAAGUCUGAACCUCUCAAGUACCUCAGAAAUGGGGAAAGUGUAGGAGCCUGAAUGAGAGAUGUGGGAUUCCAGGCAGCUCUCCAAAAUGCAGUUUAUUGUAUCCAAAAUGCAGUUUAUUGUAUCCAAAAUGCAGUUUAUUCUAUCCAAGAUGCUACAGCAGUCCAGGGUCGUGGAUGACAGAGCUGUGCCUCCAGCUGUCAGUUCCAGCUGCAGGCAGGCCUGGAGACCCACAUCCCUCAUUCAGGCCCUUACUAAUGGUGCCCCACGUUGGGCACCACUGUGAGAGCCAAAAUGAAAGAUGUGGGACUCCAGGGACUCUUCAAAAUGCAGUUUAUUACGUCCAAAAUGCAGUUUAUUGUAUACAGAAUGCAGUUUAUUCUAUCCAAGAUGCUACAGCAGUCCAGGGUCAUGGGUGGCAGAGCUGUGCCCACAGCUGUCAGCUCCAGCUGCACAGAAGCCUGAAGACCCUUUAAUUUUGGCUACAAAUGCAUUAUAUACUUUUCUUUCCUGAGCAUCUUAAUACCAAUCUAUAGUAGAACUAAUCUAUACCUUAACUAUUAUCUACAGCCUAUCAUACCUACUGUAAUUACCAUAUUCAUGUUGCUGUUCCCCUAUCACUAAAAGUCAGUACAUUACAGUUUAAGCUAGAAGUUUUUUUCCGUUUUCUUGCAGUGGAAAAUUCUGAGAUCAUUUUCUACUUGCAACAUUUGCUGCCUUGUUUGCCUGUGCUAUCUUUCUGCUUGGUAAAAGCAUCUUGUUUGGGGUGGGUUUAUCCUUUGCUCUAAGCCGUAAAACCUCUUCUACUAACACACCCUUUGCCUCCUUGGUUAUCCAGCAAGACUGGCACAGCAAUUCUUUUCUUCUAUAUCAAAACUUGCUUCCAUCUCUAUUCCUUCAUCAGACUCUACAUUUAAAAAUCCUUCUGCCAAGCACACAUAUCUGUGAGACUUUCUUGUCAAACUCUCAUCCUUCCCAACAGGAAAGAGAGAAGGGAAAUUGGGAUAAAAAGGGAGGGGUUGGGAAAUUGGGAUAAAAAGGAGCUGCAUCCUCCUGCUCUGCUCCAUCCUCCUGACACCCCAGGGAGCCCCAGGAUCUGCGGGGGCUCAGCCCCUGCUGCCUUUCCUCAGGGUUCUGUCCACCCUGGAGCUCUGCAAACCCUCCCAGUGCAGGGCCCCCACUCAGAGGGAGCCAGCCCUGCCUCAGAAUCCCAGCCCACCCACAAUCCCAUGUCCUGAAAGGGAAUAAAUGUCCAAACUGGACAAUUCCAUAGGGAAGCUGUUCCCCCAUGAAGGGCUCAGUUGGAUGCUGCCCUUUAGGUUUUGUUCCCUGGUUUUUCUUCUUCCCUUUGAAUAAAGCAAUUCUUUGUUGCUGAUCUCACUCUUUGAGAACCUGAAUCAACAACUCUUCAGCUUUCCUUCCUAUUCCUGACUGCUUUGAUGCUCUUGUGUUCUUCAAAUGAACCAGAAAUGCCCCAAAUAUUUAUUUCCUUUCUCCCUUUCUCUUUAAAAGACUUUUUGGAAAUCCAUGCACGUAUUCAUAUGAUUUGACCCAAAACACAGAUGUGGAGGAGCACCUGGAAAAGGAUUAGGGGCCAGGAAUUAAAAAUUCAUUCCUUUCUUCUGUUGUAUAAAUUAUGAUAAUUGAAAAACAAUUUUCCCCGAACUAGAAAGUAAAAGAAGGAGAAAUGUGCAUUUUCCCCCCUGUAGAUUCCACGUGGCUGCCCUGUCUCUAUUCAGGGGAAAGAGCCAUUCUGAUUUUACAUCACCAAAGAAUCUGCUUUAAUAGAUUUUCAUUUUCCUGAGCACUUUGCCCAGGUAUUUCUGUGCCAUGACUCAUUGCAGACUAAUGGCUGCAUUUUAAAAAUGACUCCCAGCUCCGCCAGCACCAUAAAGCUCAUUUCCAUGUCGUACCGCCCUGCACUCCCACAGAAAUUUUAUUGAGAUUUUUGUAAUAGAUGAAGAGAUAUCAAACAAUUCUCUUAAAAUCCAGCAAACUGCUUUUGUCCUUGUUUUUAUCUCUGGCCACAGCUGUUCUUCCCAUCUCUGGCCUGGGCACUGCUGCCUUUCAGAGAAUCUUAUUCAGCAUAAAUCACUUUGCAGGGUCUGGGAUAUUCACAUCGCACUGCAAAUUCAUUCUUUUCCACCUGCAAGGCUGUGCCAUGAGAGUUUUAAAGCAUUCAAUAACUGAUCAAUUCCAAUUUUCCACUAAAGGGAGACACAGCCCAGGUCCACGGUGAGUUAAACAAGGGAGGGACCAGGCUGGGCUUCUGGUCACCACCUGAAUCUUCUUUUUUCAGGCUGUUUCUGCCUGUAAAACACAGAUUGCAGCAAAGAGCUGCUCUUGGCUGGUAAUUAACUGAGUGGAGAACAGGAAAUGAGAUUUGAAGUCCUUGACAACCAAGGACGAUCUCCAGGGUUGCCUUUUUGGCCUUUCCUUGGCUGAUGCCCCCAGGGAAUUCUCUCUCACCUGUGGCACAGCAGAAAGGGGGAACAUCCCUCACCCAGAGCCUGCCCAUGGUUUCCCAGGGGCUGCUCAUUCCUGGGAUCAGCUCUGCUGAAAUUCCUCCCUGGACGCUGCUCCUGAUCCAGCAGGGGCUGGGGGGCUCACAGCCCUCCCUGCCCAGCACCAGGAUUUGGGUGGAAUUGGUGAAGUUUUGGGUGCCCUGCACCCAGCCUGGG